CCUACGGGGUGCAGCAGUGAGGAAUAUUGGUCAAUGGGCGCGAGCCUGAACCAGCCAAGUAGCGUGAAGGAUGACUGCCCUACGGGUUGUAAACUUCUUUUAUAAAGGAAUAAAGUGAGGCACGUGGGCCUUUUUGUAUGUAAUUUAUGAAUAAGGAUCGGCUAACUCGGUGCCAGCAGCCGCGGUAAUACGGAGGAUCCGAGCGUUAUCCGGAUUUAUUGGGUUUAAAGGGAGCGUAGAUGGGUUGGUAAGUCAGUUGUGAAAGUUUGCGGCUCAACCGUAAAAUUGCAAUUGAUACUGGCAGCCUUGAGUACAGUUGAGGUAGGCGGAGUUCGUGGUGUAGCGGUGAAAUGCUUAGAUAUCACGAAGAACUCCGAUUGCGAAGGCAGCUUACUAAACUGCCACUGACAUUGAUGCUCGAAAGUGUGGGUAUCAAACAGGAUUAGAUACCCGGGUAGUC
rnacentral:rRNA from 1 species